UUAUUUAACGGCCGCGGUAUCCUGACUGUGCAAAGGUAGCAUAAUCAUUUGUCCUUUUAUUGUGGGGUGGUAUGAAUGGAUUAACCAAAGAAGAANNNAAGGACAAGAAGACCCUAUAGAGCUUUACUUUGUUUCAUUUUUGUAUAGUUGUUAGAAGUUUGGUUGGGGCGACAGAGGAAAUUUCCUAAACUUCCUUAUGGGGAAAAGCUAGCACGCUUAAGCUGAUCCUAUUUUAGAUUAGGGGAUUAAGCUACCUUAGGGAUAACAGGCUAAUUCUUCUUGAGAGUUCACAUUGACAGAAGGGUUUGGCACCUCGAUGUUGGCUUAGGAUAUCCUGAAGGUGCAGCAGCUUUCGAGGGUGGGUUUGUUCAACCCCUAAAAUCCUACGUGAUCUGAGUUC
rnacentral:rRNA from 1 species